rnacentral:tRNA from 1 species
GCCGAAGUGGCGGAAUUGGCAGACGCACGCGCCUCAAAAGCGCGCGGGUGAUCCCCGUGCCGGUUCGAGUCCGGCCUUCGGCACCA